rnacentral:lncRNA from 1 species
ACAGAUUCCACCUCGGCCAUAUCGUUGUAGUGCUUAGGCGAAGCCCUACGUCGGUAACUUCAUCAUCACCAUCAUCACGCUGUCGUGCUGACAAAGCUCUCUGUAACGCCCGGAUAAUCAAGCUACAGUGAACCUCUGCUAAUGAUGCCACGUCACUUCCCUUACUGUUGCUAAUCUCACGUUAGUUCGAAACCGAUUUAAAUUCAAAGUCAAAAUCAAGCAAUCAAUAAAAGUUUUCAAAUAUUAAAACUAAAAUGUUCAUCAUGUGGCAAAUAAUCCCUAACUAGUUUUGGUGGUGGAACCAACCUUUUACAAAGUGUUUAAAUGCCCUAAACUAAUUAAAAACAUCAGCUAAAAUAAUAAUUUAGUUGCUUUUGAAAAUAUAAAAAUAUUAAACUAAUUUAUUUUGGGUCCAACUAGGUUUGGCAGUGGCCUAUUUUGAUGAUACUAAUUUAGGUGCUAACUUGGUAUUUUAAAGAAACUAAAAUAAUUAGGAACUAAAAGAAAACAGAAAAAAAAGGUAAAGUAAAAUAAAAAUAAAACAUAACAAAUAAAAGGCCAAAAGGCCCCCCUCCCACCGGGCCUCGGCCCAGCCACAUGCCAGGCCGGCCCAUCCCCACUCCCUUAACCCCCCGGUGCCGAAACCCUAGACACCGACACCCCCACUCCCCUCCACUCGCGCCCCCACUCUCCCUCCCCCCAAUCCCCUCCUGGAUCGUGGAUCAGGAUCGAACCCCGACGCCCUCCGCCUCGCUCCCUCNNNNNNNNNNNNNNNNNNNNNNNNNNNNNNNNNNNNNNNNNNNNNNNNNNNNNNNNNNNNNNNNNNNNNNNNNNNNNNNNNNNNNNNNNNNNNNNNNNNNNNNNNNNNNNNNNNNNNNNNNNNNNNNNNNNNNNNNNNNNNNNNNNNNNNNNNNNNNNNNNNNNNNNNNNNNNNNNNNNNNNNNNNNNNNNNNNNNNNNNNNNNNNNNNNNNNNNNNNNNNNNNNNNNNNNNNNNNNNNNNNNNNNNNNNNNNNNNNNNNNNNNNNNNNNNNNNNNNNNNNNNNNNNNNNNNNNNNNNNNNNNNNNNNNNNNNNNNNNNNNNNNNNNNNNNNNNNNNNNNNNNNNNNNNNNNNCCUUGGCCGAGGCCAGCCGCCGCUCGGCUCCCCCCAUCGUCCCUGACGCCGCCAUCGCACACCGUCAUCUGCCUCCGGCCGCCCUGCUGCCAGUCGGUAGUCGCAGCCCUCCGCGUGCUCCGGCCGGCUACAGCUCGCCAGAGCUCCAUGGCGGCGCGCCGGCGCCAGCUCCCACCAGGUGGCCGCAGCGCCCAGUCGGGUGCACCCGCGCGGGGCAGCGCCCAUUCGGGCUGUGCCCGACGCCCGACCCGCUAUGGCCCUCUGGGCCACUGCCAGACGGGGCCCACGCCCCAGCACAUAUUAUAAAAAAAGAAUUAAAAUAAAUAAUAAUAAAUAAAAAAUAUAAAUAAAUAAUAAUAAUAAAAAUAAUUAACUUAAUUAACUUAAUUAAUUUUGAUUAAUUAAACUAAACAACCAAUUAAGCUAAUUAAACAUUAGUUACCUAAUUAACCUAAUUAGCUAAUUAAGUAGUCAAUGACAGUGGGGCCCACCCCUAAUUAAUCCUGAUUAGGUUAAUUAAUAUGUUUAAUUAAAAUGUUUCACUGACCAGUGGGACCCACUAGUCAGGUUGACCAGUCAACCCCUGUUGACUGCUGACGUCAGCAUGACAUCAUGCUGAUGUCAUAAAUCCAGUUUCGAAUUAAAUUAAUUCUGUUAAUUCUAAAAAUGAAUUAAAUCUUUAAAAAUUAAUAUAAAAUAAUUCGUAACUCGGAUGAAAAUACUUUGUACAUGAAAGUUGCUCAGAACGACGAGAUGAAUCCAGAUACGCAGCCCGUUCGUCCGCCACACACCCCUAGCAUAUCGAACACGCAACUUUCCCCCUCCGGUUCAUCUGUCGAAAAACACGAAACACCGGGGAUACUUUCCCGGAUGUUCCCCCCUUCACCGGUAUCACCUCAUACCGCGUUAGAACACGUCUAGCUCUGCCUGUUGUCCUGUUAUGCACUUGCUUGCUAUGUAUUUACUGUUUCUCCCCCCUCUUCUCUUCGGUAGACCCCGUGACGAUGCUGAUGCCCCUGUGGUCGACUACGUCACCGACGACCCCUCCUUCUUGUCUGAGCAACCAGGCAAGCCCCCCCUUGAUCACCAGAUAUCGCCUAUUCCUUCUCUAUACUGCUUGCAUUAGAGUAGUGUAGCAUGUUACUGCUUUCGGUUAAUCCUAUACUGAUGCAUAGCCUGUCAUUGUUGCUACAGUUGUUACCCUUACCUGCUAUCCUACUGCUUAGUAUAGGUUGCUAGUGUUCCAUCAGUGGCCCUACACUCUUGUCCGUCUGCCAUGCUAUACUACUGGGCCGUGAUCACUUCGGGAGGUGAUCACGGGUAUAUACUAUAUACAAUUAUACAUGACACAUGUGGUGACUAAAGUCGGGUCGGCUCGUUGAGUACCCGCAAGUGAUUCUGAUGAGGGGGCUGAAAGGACAGGUGGCUCCAUCCCGGUAGAGGUGGGCCUGGGUUCCUGACGGCCCCCGACUGUUACUUUGUGGCGGAGCGACAGGGUAGGUUGAGACCACCUAGGAGAGAGGUGGGUCUGGCCCUGGUCGGCGUUCGUGGAUACUUAACACGCUUAACGAGAUCUUGGUAUUUGAUCUGAGUCUGGCCAUUUGGUCUAUACGCACUAACCAUCUACGCGGGAGUAGUUAUGGGUAUCCCGACGUCGUGGUAUCAGCCGAAGCCUUCGUGACGUCAGCGACCGCGCGGCGCGCGCCGGAUUGGACUGGAACGCCACUAGGCUAGGUCUGCUUCCGGCCGCGUAUGCAACGUGCAGGUGUGCAAUGGGCGAUGGGCCCAGACCCCUGCGCGCAUAGGAUUUAGACCGGCGUGCUGACCUCUCUGUUGUGCCUAGGUGGGGCUGCGAUGUGUUGAUCUUCCGAGGCCGGGCAUGACCCAGAAAAGUGUGUCCGGCCAAAUGGGAUCGAGCGUGUUGGGUUAUGUGGUGCACCCCUGCAGGGAAGUUUAUCUAUUCGAAUAGCCGUGUCCCUCGGUAAAAGGACGACCCGGAGUUGUACCUUGACCUUAUGACAACUAGAACCGGAUACUUAAUAAAAUACACCCUUCCAAGUGCCAGAUACAACCCGGUGAUCGCUCUCUAACAGGGCGACGAGGAGGGGAUCGCCGGGUAGGAUUAUGCUAUGCGAUGCUACUUGGAGGACUUCAAUCUACUCUCUUCUACAUGCUGCAAGAUGGAGAUGGCCAGAAGCGUAGUCUUCGACAGGAUUAGCUAUCCCCCUCUUAUUCUGGCAUUCUGCAGUUCAGCCCACUGAUAUGCUCCUUUACACAUAUACCCAUGCAUAUGUAGUGUAGCUCCUUGCUUGCGAGUCACAAGUUGGUAUCAGAGCCAACUGCCUGUAGGAAUCCCCCUUUUCACACUCCUUGGCCGAAGUCGAGUCUAGACAUUACAAAACUUUUACUAACAUGGUUGUGUGUCUUACGGGCCCACGUCGCCAUUGGGUGGUAGUAGGAUCUUUUAUUCCUCAACCUAUACUCUGGGACUCUGACAUAUCUUCUAUUCGGAUUAAACGAUUUUACUAACUCUGACUCUAGGUUCUCGAUAAUACUUUCUCCCGGAGAGCCCCUUAUUACAGAUGAUCGUCUGCUGCACCAGAAGGAUCCGAAGAUACUCUCCGAUGUUCUCUUGAGACUUUAUGAUGUCACUUUUGCAAUUCCCUUCCAUCGAUAAACCCCUGUGGAUAACCACGUAUACUCGCCAUUCAUACAAUGUUUUCCAGUUGAUCUUGUUAUUACAAGAUACCUCGAAAUUCUCUUUGUUGCUCCGAGAAUCCUUUGAGCUUACUGCCUUGCUGUUUUUUGCCACAUGAAUACCACUAUGGAUAAUUUCUAGCACUCACCGGAUAUUUGCUCAUCCCCAGUUGAUUCAUGUAUUUCACAAAAGUCUUCAAAAUACUAUUUGAACUUCCGAAAUCCUGAGUAGCCUAUUGCUCUUGAAAUUCUUACUUGCUUGCAUUAUGGUUAAUCCCAUAAGUCUAUAAUCUUAUUGGCAUCUCUUGUCAUUAUCAUUUUGAGUCCAUUGAUUCAAUUUGUUGCGAAUGCUCACAAUCCUCAAUCAGAUCCUAGUAUUCAUCCUUCCGGCUCAGACGUCAUUUUAAACGUGAGCUGGAUCUCGACCAAUCAAAUUUGCCAUCAAUUGUACCCGUAAAUUUACUCGACUUAUCCAUCCUCAAUCAGAGCAUUUGCUUCUGAUCCCUUGAAUUUGAAAUUAUAAUUCCUUUGCAUUGAGCUUUGAGUUAGUCAGUUGUUUCUAUAAUCUGAUCUCCUUGCAUUCUUUCUUCCUCUGGUUGAGUACUGAUGCUCACAGCAGAUCCCUUGUGGACCACCAGACCCUUUUGUCGGAUUUUAUCCGACAAUGUCCUUCAUAUUAAAUAAGCUUGUGAGCUUUUCCUCGGAUACAUGAUGCCUUUGGUAAAUUGUAUCCUCUGCUUUGUGAACCAUGCUCUACAUUCGAGCUUGUGUUAAUUACUCCAAAUUUUUUUGUGGUAUAUGUUCCUAAGAUGCCUCGAUGGGUUGAACCAAUGCCUUACCUAAUCUAUGUGAGCCCGAAAGAUUUCACGGGCCAUACUCAUCUGGUAUUUCACUAGGUAAAACUUUCAACACUAAUGCCUUUAUCGAAUGCGAGAAGUGAAUGAAAGGUUAUGCAUUGGAGAAGUGGGAGUUGACCAUGAACUUUGUGUUCAUGCCCAUGGACACGAUGUAGAUCCUAUCGUCUAGUAUCUGUGUAUUGAUCCUUUUGCAAUCGUGGUUCCGACCAUGUUCUCCUUUAAAUACCAUUUCUCGUACAAGUUUAAGCACUUGUCUUAUGUAAGGGCAAUACCCCAGUCCAACCUCUACUUUGGUUUGUCGUCGAGAAUUACCCCCCUGGUAUCUCGAUAUUAUCACGGAACUGCAUAACUUCUUAUGAGUUCUCCAUCAAGUAUUACAUUCUCAUUGAUUCCAAUUUUUCACGGGCUCCGAGUUGUUAGAACCCCUCAAGGACACCGAUAAGUGAAUCAAUUCCACACUCCGAUUCAAUAACUCUAAGUAAUUUUCGUUGCUUAUGAGUUUAAUAAUCAUUUAAGUCAUUCCUAGCCGGAUCGGCUAUAUCCUUAGCGUGCUAAAUUUUAACUGUGCUACCUGGUUCUUAACCGUGGAGCACAACUUUCGAUGAUGAGCUAAGCUUAUGUCGAUCUUCCUCAUCUUAUCGUUUCACCUCCAACAACAAGCUUGGUUUGGAGUUUGUGUCGUACCCUUGGUUCCAAUAACUUUUCGCUUCACCAUUCCUUUGACUUGAUGUCAUUGCCGAUCGAUUACAUCUUCAAGAAACCUCUCGACAAGUGUGUCGUGAUCAUCGUCAACAUUUUAACUUCUUCCAAGAUAUCAAUUGAAUUCAUGAUGAGAAAUUCCAUGCUUGUCCCUCGAUGAUCUGUGUUGUCAUCGACCACAUCCAUGCCUUCCUUUCAAACACAGACUUGGUCUUGUUUGAAUGAACUUUAAGUUCCUUGCUAUCCAGCAAUUGUUCUUCUUUACCUUGGAACAUUAACAUCUCUUUUGUCCUCAAUGUUGUGAGAAUUUCACCACCUCUUAAGAAAUCUUGGUAUGGUGAUACUUCUCACCAUCACCAUUCCUUCUUGGGUCCUCGUGUUGAUUCCAACCGGGGUACCAACGAGUGAGCGGUGCUGUUUGGAUCCCGCCCUUCUAGCAACCCUAUUGCUUUGAAGUUAAUGGUCGGCCGUUCAUUCUUAGACUAUUGAUUAUUGAAUCACCAUUCCGACGUUGGUCCUGCAACCCAGCCCAUAUUUCGGGUGCACAUUUCAAACAAUGUUUAAUUGUGUAUGUUUCCCUCGAGCAUACAUCAUUAUACCAUUUGAUCUGACAAAUGUUAUCUCCUUGUUCACAUAGUUGUGGAAAUCCAUCUUUUGGAAAUCUCAAUGGAUUGUCACUGAGUCAAUCAGUCACCUCCUCACCUCUCCUUGAUUUAAUGAUGAACCCUUGUUCGGAACUUGCUUCCAUAGUUCAUUUCCCGAGAAUCUUACAAUGUCAUCUCGUCAAAUUGUGCCGCACCUUCUCUUCUUAGGCAUCCUAAGUCUGAGGUAUCCUCACACCAAUCAUAACUGAAUCUCGGUCAGAUAUGAUGGUUGGAACAUAUUUCCAAGAGUUAUAACAUUGGUCUUUAUAUGACCCGGUAAGGUGAUGUCGUGCCUAGCACACCUGGCCGGAGGACCUAUUGUUACCAUUUCCUUUUAGCAAGGCUAUCCUUUUCUUCCAUGAGGAAAUUGUAAGGCUUAUUCUACAAGCGGUUCCCGAUGGACCCUUUUUGUUUCUAAAGUCUGAUCUUCACCUGAUAACCAUGUCAAGGCUAUCUCGAUGCAUGUUUGUGGUACUCCGAUUUUCAACAGGAAGAUUUGAAGCCCAAUGCUAAAUGUUUCCUGCUCAAUUAUCCAAACACCGUUGUAUGGGUAAUGUCAUGAAAUUUCUCCCCCCUACCUAAAGAGUUUUCUACAUUAUAUCCUGUCAUGGAUAUCAUGCUCAGCUUGUCCUUGGGAAGGAUAUACCCUUGAAAUAUGUGUUUAAACACAUUUUCCUUUCCAUUGUUCUAUUUAAAUCUGAUAAUCAUAUCUUCCUUUCCAUUGUUUGGUUUAACCUUUCUUAUGAUAUAUAUGAUCUGAGCAGUAAUAAGUCACUGCUUUUGUAAGCACCUCGGUGUACGACUUUGUCAGUAAGAACCUGUUACUAUGGUUGAUGAUAUUCCGGUAACCACCAAUGGACGAGAACUUUGCCUAUUGGUUCGCCUCGUUUCGGUGAGCAGGAAAAUGGUUCUCUUCGUCCCUCGCCCUUGGUACCGAUGUUGUUGCCGACAUAAAAGACAGGCUAUCCUCUGACAUGCCUUGCUAUCAUGAUCGUGCAAGAUGUCACCGCCCUUCCUACUUUUAACCCACAUGGUGGGCCCAUAACCCACAGUUCCACAUGAUCGAAACCUGACUCUCUUGUAGAUCCUAUUGCCAAAGAUAUUCCUUGAGCUUGGCUUCGUAUGCAACUCACGAGCCACAUUCCUAGUGAUCUAUUCUAGUAUCAGGCGCAAUACUAUUUCUCGUUGCUCUGGACCCAUUUCACACUUUGUUCAGGCAUCGAACGAUUGUCUACCCGCUUAAACUUCUCAUGGUACCUUCUUACUAGCUCUCGAUAACUUCUUAAGUUUCAAUACGAGAGUUACUUUCCGCCACCUUCCCCGAUGUUAUUGACCAGUUAGUCAACCUUGCAGAGGUCUGUUCUUUCGGAAUAACCACCCUUAUUCUUUUGUAAGUACGAUGGAGUUCCCGAAGAAAGGAUGCCGACUUCAUCGUGAUGAUCUGAAGCAGAGAAAUAAGGACAUCAACGAAGCGGGUCAACUACUUCAGGGAGAGCAAAAAUGAAUGAGAAGAUCCAUUAGGAUGUCGUAACCAAAUCUUCCCCCCUUGCUCUACCCCUUAAAUCUCGGGACGAGAUUUCUUGUAGUGGAGGAGUUUUGUAACGCCCGGAUAAUCAAGCUACAGCGAACCUCUGCUAAUGAUGCCACGCCACUUCCAUUACUGUUGCUAAUCUCACGUUAGUUCGAAACCGAUUUAAAUUCAAAGUCAAAAUCAAGCAAUCAAUAAAAGUUUUCAAAUAUUAAAACUAAAAUGUUCAUCAUGUGGCAAAUAAUCCCUAACUAGUUUUGGUGGUGGAACCAACCUUUUACAAAGUGUUUAAAUGCCCUAAACUAAUUAAAAACAUCGGCUAACAUAAUAAUUUAGUUGCUUUUGAAAAUAUAAAAAUAUUAAACUAAUUUAUUUUGGGUCCAACUAGGUUUGGCAGUGGCCUAUUUUGAUGAUACUAAUUUAGGUGCUAACUUGGUAUUUUAAAGAAACUAAAAUAAUUAGGAACUAAAGAAAAAAUAAAAAAAAAUAAAAAAAGGGUAAAGUAAAAUAAAAAU